GGUAGUCCACGCCGUAAACGAUGUCGACUUGGAGGUUGUGCCCUUGAGGCGUGGCUUCCGGAGCUAACGCGUUAAGUCGACCGCCUGGGGAGUACGGCCGCAAGGUUAAAACUCAAAUGAAUUGACGGGGGCCCGCACAAGCGGUGGAGCAUGUGGUUUAAUUCGAUGCAACGCGAAGAACCUUACCUACUCUUGACAUCCAGAGAACUUAGCAGAGAUGCUUUGGUGCCUUCGGGAACUCUGAGACAGGUGCUGCAUGGCUGUCGUCAGCUCGUGUUGUGAAAUGUUGGGUUAAGUCCCGCAACGAGCGCAACCCUUAUCCUUUGUUGCCAGCGGUUAGGCCGGGAACUCAAAGGAGACUGCCAGUGAUAAACUGGAGGAAGGUGGGGAUGACGUCAAGUCAUCAUGGCCCUUACGAGUAGGGCUACACACGUGCUACAAUGGCGCAUACAAAGAGAAGCGACCUCGCGAGAGCAAGCGGACCUCAUAAAGUGCGUCGUAGUCCGGAUUGGAGUCUGCAACUCGACUCCAUGAAGUCGGAAUCGCUAGUAAUCGUAGAUCAGAAUGCUGCGGUGAAUACGUUCCCGGGCCUUGUACACACCGCCCGUCACACCAUGGGAGUGGGUUGCAAAAGAAGUAGUUAGCUUAACCUUCGGGAGGGCGCUUACCACUUUGUGAUUCAUGACUGGGGUGAAGUCGUAACAAGGUAACCGUAGGGGAACCUGC
rnacentral:rRNA from 1 species